rnacentral:misc_RNA from 1 species
AAACAACAGCGUAAGCUAUUCUGUGCCUUGAAAGCUUUUUGUUCCAUGUAGUUCUUUUAUUAUAUAGUUUAAUCUAGAUUCUGGAGUAAUUGAAUUGAAUUGACAUGAGAGCUGAUCAUUCAAGCCUCAGAACUCUGAGGAACUGAUGCGGAUUGACCAAUUUUUCGUAACAUAAUAGGGAUAAUUAAAGUGGGGAGAUAUUUGAUUUGACAGUUCAAUGGAUAAGCCUAGUUAGAGUGCACUGAAUUUAUAUAUAGAUGUCAGGCUAUGGCAGUUAACUUCAUGGCUAUAACAGAGGUAACGAGUCCUAAUAGAUAUGAGGUUUUAAGAAAGCUUCUAUUUUUUGAGAUACCAAAUAAGUGCUAUUGUUUUUGGAUAUGCAUUAAAAUUUUUUGGGAGGUUAUGCCUCAGUGCAGAUGUAUAGAGAACUAGAAUGAGAAGUGUUCAUGAAUCAAGAAUCUAGGGAAAACCAUAUCCAAGAAGUUUACUCUGUUUCUUUGUAACAUUGGAGUACUGUCGAAUAAUUGGUGGAUGGAUUUUUGGUUUAGAAUGAGAUGAAUGCUUGGGAGAAUCUUAAAUAGUAACACCUUUUAGUUAAUUGAAGUUAUCUUGUCUUGGGUCAAAGGAAAAUCCAAUAUAUAUGUUAAUACUUUACUUUUAAAUGGACAAUAAUCGACAUUAUCACAUGAAACUCUAUGCAAAAUUAGAAAUGCAGAAUGCAGAUAGUAGGUUCACUUUUUAAUACAACAAUAAUAAUAACAAUUAAGUCUUAAUCCCAAA